rnacentral:tRNA from 1 species
GGCUUUGUAGCUUAGUGGUAAAGCGUGGCUCUCGUAAAGCCAAGACCCAGGGUUCAAAUCCCUGCAAAGCCU